GAUGGCAAUGUCGAAGAUAUGGUGAUGAAGGAAGAGAAUGAAGGAAACCAGACCACAGUCCCUGUUGGUGACGAUGAUGACGGCUCUGGAGAGAGGGAGGCUAAUACAGGCGAAAGGCAAGCUCAGAACCAAACUUAUGUCACUCCAACUAUUGUAGUUAUUCCGACAAGCGGAGUUUCGACAAGUAGUACUAAGGGAAUUUCUUCAGAAAG
rnacentral:lncRNA from 1 species